UGGGACCGAGUCUACAAAUCGCACGGAACAUUCCCUCAGUUUCCCGAAUUUUCUCUCGUCGAAGAUAUUCAUUCAUGCUGUUCGGCGCCAAUCUUCCCGCCGUUGGUCGAUGUUUAUUAUUUACUGAGAUGAUCGUUGUAGAUGUGGACAAUAUAACUUCACCAUAAUGCCAUGCUCUUCAGCUACUGGAGGUGUUUGGUCAAGUGGCACACCUUGCUCGAGUGAUUGGCUUAGAGAGUUUCUUGGUCUCACGUGGGUGGGCUAUCAUCAU